rnacentral:lncRNA from 1 species
GCAUUUUUUUGUUGAACAAUCUCAGCAAGCUCCUCCAAGCACCAUCCUGAAAAGGCAUAGGUUUUUGAAAAAAUAAUUACCGAGCACCAUGAUUGUUGAAUUGCUUUGGAGAGUUCGGGGGCGAUCUCUUCGCCAGCCUCCAGCUUUGGAUCAUCCCUGAAGGUGACGAUCCCACUACUCUUUAGAGCAUCAUAAAGAUGAGCCGUGAAGUUCUUGCGAGUAUCUUCACCUCUAAAACUCAAGAAAACAUCAUAUUUCUUUCUUGAAAUGGGCGAAGAAGUCGAAGGUAACGACAACAUAAGGAUGUAUGAAAGGAGAAGGAUACCUCUAUCUGGUGUUCAAAAUGAGAAAAUAGAUCUCCCGAUCCUCGCAAAGAAAGUAGAAAAAGUAAGUAUAUGAGCAUAGGGGUGGAAAUUAGGGGGUCAAAGAUGAGUGAUGUAUGUUCUUUCCAAUAAGAAUCCAAGAAGGUGAGAGUUGGCAAAGUGGAGGCUGUUAAAAAUGUUGGACGGUUUGUAUUUUUCGUAUUUAAUAAUUAUAGAGUAGAUAAGAUUAUGACAAUAAUCAUUAGAAUAUAUCUUUAAUAAUUAUUCUUCGUUAUGGGCUGGUUUAAAAGUUGACCAAAUAACCAACUACUCGCAUGACACGUGGAAAACUUCUAUCUCGAAAGACAGAUCCAUUUCAGCUGCUUAAGAUUAUUUUUGGUUAGAGCCGACCCGAUUAAUGAACAAAUAAAUAAAAAUAAGAAAAAAAUUUAAAAUAUGAACACAACGUGGAAAAACUCUCUGAAAAUGAUAAAAAAUCACAGGUAAUGAUAAUUUUAUUAUAAUGGUAAAAGAAUGAAUGGUACAAAAGAUGAAGAUAAAAAUUAAACUCCGAAAACAAAGAACUCUCAAAACAUAAACACAAAAUUCUCUAAAAGUGUUAUGAAUUCUAAUCUCUAAUAGGUGUAUUUUCUAAUACUGUAAAAAAAUUCUAUUGAUAGGCUAAAUUCGUAUGUGAAAUAAUAAUAAAAUAAUCUAGACUAAUCAGAUUUUGAUUGAAACAAAUAAAUAGAGUUUAAUUGGAAGAUUAUUUAUCAAAUUUGACUGAAAUAUGAGUCAUACUCAACAAAUCUCCACAUUGACUGGUAUUUCCACAACGCCACCUUUGCUAAAGCCUACCAAGAGCCUAUCUUGACCUAUGUAGGGAAUUAAUUGAGUUGAAUUUGUGUUUAGAAGCUGGAAUGCUUCUAGACUUCAACUUGUGCAUUGUCAAAUCAAAACUAACCCGGAUCUGAUUUUCACAAACACAAUGCUCUAACUUUUUAAAAUCGACAUCUAAAAGAGAACCUCCGCUCCAAACGAGUUAACUUUGACUCCGUAAUAGAUGAGGGACGUCCGAUUUCACUAAUCACUGUAGAACCUUUAAAAAAAUAAAGACUGUCGGUCCUUUUACCUUUUAACAAACUGAGAGUCCCACAAGACACCUUAAUGUCGUUAGACUCGAUGUUGAUUCUGUAACUUUUCGAGUCUAAAUUACUUAAGCAGAUGAGAUUCUUUCGUAAAUCAGGUACAUACCUGACAUCUGAGAAUGCCCUAAUCGCCUCAUCGUGCAUCCUAAUUUUAUAGUAACAAUACCAAUUACCUUACCAGAUGAAUCAUUUCCCAUACGCUUAGCUCCACCUUCAACCGAACUGUAUGUGAAGAACCAUUCUCUAUUGGGACACAUGUGGAAAGAACAUCCCGAAUCUCGGAUCCACUUGGACAUAAGCUCAGAACUACCGCUUGUUAACACUAAUAAAAAAUCAUCACCGCUUUUGUCGGCCAAAUUAGCACAAGCUACACCUUCCUCAUUGCUCUCAAUAGCCUUUUUAAUUUGCAGUUUAUAACAAUCUGCUUUGACGUGACCUAACUUCUAACAAUAGCGAAAUCUUUUGUCUCGCUUCUUUCGCUUCUUUGAUGUUACCAAAAUAGAAGCUUGCCUAUUUUCCUUGCUAUCCAAACCAAACUCAUUGUUGAGUUUAUCUUUGCUUAACAAAUGACCCUUCACGUCCUCCAAUGAGAGAUUAUCUCUCCUAUAAGUCAUUGUUUCCCUGAAAGACUUGUAUAAAGGGAGUAAAGAGCACAAAGAUAAUAUAGUCUGCUCCUCAUCAUCAAUUUGAACCUCAACGUUAUUUAAAUCAUUUAAAAGAGUAAUGAAUUGACUGAUGUAAUCUCUAAGAAGCUCACAUUUGUUCAUGCGAAAUGUAAAUAGUUGUUGCUUUGGAGAGUUCGGGUGCGAUCUCUUCGCCAGCCUCCAGCUUUGGAUCAUCCCUGAAGGUGACGAUCCCACUACUCUAUAGAGCAUCAUAAAGAUGACCCGUGAAGUUCUUGCGAGUAUCUUCACCUCUAAAACUCAAGAAAACAUCAUAUUUCUUUCUAGAUAUGGGCGAAGAAGUCGAAGGUAACGACAGCAUGAGGAUGUAUGAAAGGAGAAGGAUAUCUGUAUCUGGUGUUCAAAAUCAGAAAAUAGAUCGCCCGAUCCUCGCAAAGUAUAUGGGCAUAGGGGCGGAAAUUAGGGGUCAAAGAUGAGUGAUGGAUG